AAGCUGGGCAUUAAACUGAGUUCCAGUUCAUGUAAACAUCCUACACUCAGCUGUAACACAUAGAUUGGCUGGGAGGUGGAUGUUUACUUCAGCUGACUUGGAAUAACAGCCUUUUAACAU
rnacentral:precursor_RNA from 12 species